rnacentral:lncRNA from 1 species
GAGAAGUUAAGAAUAGGAGAAACCGGAAAAUAAAAAAGGGCGAGUCAUUGUGAAUGUCAGGAGCUCCUCAGCCGCGGGUGUGAUAGUGUUCCAGCCCUCCCCAGGCUGCUCCAUGUGACAGCAAGGGAGAGGAUUUCAUUAGGAUCUGGUAGCAGGCUAUUUUCAGAGCUGACAUCCUACCCACCACUAAAUAUAGACUGUCCCCUCCUCUCAAACUAAGGUUUCUUUUCUUUAAACUUUAAUAAACCUCUCGGUUGUGUAUCACAGACUUUCCUUCCUUCCUUCUUUCCUUUUUAUUUUAUUGUUCUCUCUUUUCUCCCUCCUUUCUUUCUGUCUUCCAUUUCUCUCUUUAUUCCCUCUUUUCUUUCCCUCUAUCAUUCCAAUCUUUCACUUCUAUCUUUAUUUCUUUCUGUUUCUCCCCUCCCCUUCCUCAGUUCAGCUUUCAUGGCCACCUUUCCAGAGUAUCAAAAGUCCCAGAAAGGGCAAUAGCAGCCCAAAGUAUCUGGCUCAUCUGGAUGAAGGUCAGAGGCUGUUUGGCCGCCUGACAGCAGGGGGACACCGGGUGUGAGCCCUCUGCUCUGCUUACCUGAUGACAGGUCAAAAUGCUGCACAACUGACGUGGUCUGGUUGUCUGCCAAGUACAGAAGAGGGUAUCCGGACCUUCCAGCUCAGGGAUUCAGCACCUUCUGGUGGCAGGCAGCCAAGCAAGCGGCAAAGGCAGCUGCCAAUCUCACCUCCUGCCCAGAAGAAAAGUGUUGGAUCCUCCUGCUUGCACAGACGCCCACGCCCCACUGCCUGAGGUUAGAGCUUCCCACGCUUCCUGCCGUCUGGAGACACUGGUCCAGGGAGCUGAAGAUGUUGCACAGCCUUUUACCACUCAGAGUCUGCCUCCACUGCCAAGGCAGAGCUAAAUUGGAAAAACACACACAAUGACCUCUUGUGGAAUGUAGUAUUAAUAUUUGAUAGGCCUAAUGUAAUCAUAUACAAUCAAUAAAGGCAGGAAUAUCUCUCCCCCUUUGUGCUCU